CAGUGGGGAAGUAUUGCACAAUGGGGCGCAAGCCUGAUGGCAGCCAUGCCGCGUGUAUGAAGAAGGCCUUCGGGUUGUAAAGUACUUUCAGCAGUGAGGAAGGUGGGUAUGGUUAAUAGCAUACUCAUUUGACGUUAGCUGCAGAAGAAGCACCGGCUAACUCCGUGCCAGCAGCCGCGGUAAUACGGAGGGUGCGAGCGUUAAUCGGAAUUACUGGGCGUAAAAGCGCAUGCAGGUGGUUUGUUAAGUCAGAUGUGAAAGCCCGGGGCUCAACCUCGGAAUUGCAUUUGAAAACUGGCAAACUAGAGUACUGUAGAGGGGGUAGAAUUUCAGGUGUAGCGGUGAAAAUGCGUAGAGAUCUGAAGGAAUACCGGUGGCGAAGGCGGCCCCCUGGACAGAUACUGACACUCAGAUGCGAAAGCGUGGGGAGCAAACAGGAUUAGAUACCCUCGGUAG
rnacentral:rRNA from 1 species